UUUCGGGAAAUAAUAUGUUUAUUUAUUGAUUGUUAAAUGUAUACAUACAACACAUUUGCAAUUUUCAGUAGUAUGAGUUUUCAUGUUUAUCAUAUAGUUUCUUGUGUUACUAAACUGUUUACCACAUACAUCAUACAUGUCAUAUAUGCGAGGUUUUUAUAAACUACGAGUUCUCAUGUGUCUGGUGUCACUAAACUGUACACCACAUAUAUCACGGGUACGGGUGCGAGGUUCUCACCAGUAUGAGUUAUCAUGUGUCUAUCAUAGAGUCUUGUGUCACUAAACUGUUAUCCACAAACAACGCAUGCGCGAUGUUUUCAUCAGUAUGAGUCCUCAUAUGUCUAUCAUAGUGUCUGGUGUCUCUAAACUGUCUACCACAUGCAUAGCAUUGGUAAGAUAUUCACCUGCAUGAGUAAGUUUCAUGUGUAAAAGACGGAUACUAUUGAGGCUAAACUCUUUCCCGCAAACAUUACAUUUGUAAUUUAAAAGUUUAUCAUUUGUUACAGUAUUAUGAGUACAACUUUGAGUUUUCAUGUGUAUACGGACCGUGCUCUUGUCCCUAAACCCUUUUCCACAUACAUCACAUGUGUAAGGUUUUUCAUCUGUAUGAGUUAUCAUGUGUAUAUGAAGGGAUCUGAUGCUCCUAAAACCUUUGCCACAUACAUCACAUUUGUAAGGUUUUUCACCUGUAUGUAUUCUAAUGUGUGUGAUUAAAUCCUGAUUUGACUUAAAUCCUUUACCACAUACAUCACAAAUGUAAGGUUUGCGUUGCUCACCAGUAUGAGUUCUCAUGUGUCUAAGACAAGAACUGUUCUUGCCAAACUCCUUACCACACACAUCGCAUUUGUAAGGUUUAUCUCCAGUAUGAGUUCUCAUGUGUCUAAAAUAAGAACUGUUGUUGCCAAACUCUUUACCACACACAUCGCAUUUGUAAAGUUUAUCACAAUUAUUAAUAUUCGUGUGUGUAUCAAUGUUACAUUUGUCGCUUAAUCCUUUAUCACCUGCUUCUCUGGUAUUCGGUUUUUCAUCAGUAUGAGUUUUCAUGUGUUUAUUAUAGGAAGUGAGGUCACUAAACCCUAUUUCACAUACAUCACAUUUGUAAAAUUCGUCACCAGUAUGAGUUCGCAUGUGUUUGUGGAAAUAACUGUUGUUGUCAAACUCUCUACCACAUAUAUCACAUGUGUAACGUUUAUUAUAUUUAUAACCAGUAUGAAUUGUCAUGUGUUUAUUGCAGCCACUUUUUCUACCGAAAUUUUUACCACAGACAUCACAUGUGUAAGGUUUUUCACCGGUAUGCAUUCUUGUGUGUGCCGUUAAGGAACUGCAGACAUUGAACCCUUUACCACAUACAUCACAUAUGUAAGGUUUUACACUAGUGUGAGUUCUUGUAUGUUUCUUAUAUGAUUUAUAGUAACCAAAUCCUUUACCACAUAAAUCACAUGUGUAAGGUUUUUCACGCUUAUCACCUGUGUGAAUUCGCAUGUGUCUGAGCAAGUUACUUUUGUGACCAAACCCUUGGCUACAUAAAUUACAUGUGUAACGUUUUGCAUCAGUAUGACUUUUUUUAUGUUUCAUACAGUUUCUGGAGUUAGUAAACCCUUGACCACAUACAUCACAUGUGUAACGCUUUUUACCAGUAUGAGUUCGUGUGUGUUUUGUUAAGGUUUUAUCGAACCUAAAACUUUUACCACACACAUCACAUUUAUAAGGUUUAUCCUGUUUAUCAACACUAUGAAUAAUCAUGUGUUGAAGGAAGCCUUUUUUGUCACUAAAUCCUUUAAC
rnacentral:lncRNA from 1 species